CAGGCCCCUGAGGCAUUGCAGGUAUGGCUGCUAUGUCACAGAUCCGUCAGUAGGUGGCAGAGAGGAGACAGGCUCUGUCUACACUCACUGUCCGGACCUGUGAACAUCAGAAUGAUUAGUAGCCUAACGUU